UACGAAGGGUGCAAGCGUUACUCGGAAUUACUGGGCGUAAAGGGUGCGUAGGUGGUUUUUUAAGUCUGCUGUGAAAUCCCCGGGCUCAACCUGGGAAUGGCAGUGGAUACUGGAAAGCUGGAGUGCGGUAGAGGGUAGUGGAAUUCCCGGUGUAGCAGUGAAAUGCGUAGAGAUCGGGAGGAACACCAGUGGCGAAGGCGGCUACCUGGACCAGCACUGACACUGAGGCACGAAAGCGUGGGGAGCAAAC
rnacentral:rRNA from 1 species